rnacentral:rRNA from 1 species
AAUGAACGCUGGCGGCAGGCCUAACACAUGCAAGUCGAAUGGAGUUAUAUUGUAGCUUGCUAUGGUAUAACUUAGUGGCAGACGGGUGAGUAAUGUAUAGAAAUCUACCUAGUAGUACGGAAUAAUUGUUGGAAACGGCAACUAAUACCGUAUACGCCCUACGGGGGAAAAAUUUAUUGUUAUUAGAUGAGCCUAUAUUAGAUUAGUUAGUUGGUGAGGUAAAGGCUUACCAAGACAAUGAUCUAUAGCUGAUCUGAGAGAAUGAUCAGCCACACUGGAAUUGAGAUACGGUCCAGACUCCUACGGGAGGCAGCAGUGGGGAAUAUCGGACAAUGGGCGAAAGCCUGAUCCAGCCAUGCCGCAUGAGUGAAGAAGGCCUUCGGGUUGUAAAGCUCUUUUAGUGAGGAAGAUAAUGACGGUACUCACAGAAGAAGUCCUGGCUAACUCUGUGCCAGCAGCCGCGGUAAUACGGAGAGGGCUAGCGUUAUUCGGAAUCAUUGGGCAUAAAGGGCGCGUAGGCGGGUUAGUAAGUUAAAAGUGAAAUCCCAAGUCUCAACCUUGGAACUGCUUUUAAAACUGCUAGUCUAGAGAUUGAGAGAGGAUAGAGGGAUUCCUAGUGUAGAGGUGAAAUUCGUAAAUAUUAGGAGGAACACCAGUGGCGAAGGCGUCUAUCUGGUUCAAAUCUGACGCUGAGGCGCGAAGGCGUGGGGAGCAAACAGGAUUAGAUACCCUGGUAGUCCACGCUGUAAACGAUGAAUGUUAAAUAUGGGAAGU